UACGGGGGGGGGGCAAGCGUUGUUCGGAAUUACUGGGCGUAAAGGGCUCGUAGGCGGCCAACUAAGUCAAACGUGAAAUCCCUCGGCUUAACCGGGGAACUGCGUCUGAUACUGGAUGGCUUGAGUUUGGGAGAGGGAUGCGGAAUUCCAGGUGUAGCGGUGAAAUGCGUAGAUAUCUGGAGGAACACCGGUGGCGAAGGCGGCAUCCUGGACCAACACUGACGCUGAGGAGCGAAAGCCAGGGGGAGCAAAACGGGG
rnacentral:rRNA from 1 species